GAUGAACGCUGGCGGCGUGCCUAAUACAUGCAAGUCGAGCGAACGGACGAGAAGCUUGCUUCUCUGAUGUUAGCGGCGGACGGGUGAGUAACACGUGGAUAACCUACCUAUAAGACUGGGAUAACUUCGGGAAACCGGAGCUAAUACCGGAUGAUAUUUUGAACCGCAUGGUUCAAAAGUGAAAGACGGUCUUGCUGUCACUUAUAGAUGUAUCCCCGCUGCAUUAGCUAGUUGGUAAGGUAACGGCUUACCAAGGCAACGAUGCAUAGCCGACCUGAGAGGGUGAUCGGCCACACUGGAACUGCGACACGCUCCAGACUCCUAAGGGAGGCAGCAGUAGGGAUUCUUCCGCAAUGGGCGAAAGCCUGACGGAGCAACGCCGCGUGAUUGAUGAAGUUCUUCUGUUCCUAAAACUCUGUUAUUAGGGAAGAACAUAUGUGUAAGUAACUGUGCACAUCUUGACGGUACCUAAUCAGAAAGCCACGGCUAACUCCGUG
rnacentral:rRNA from 1 species